UGGUAGGUUGCAUCGCUAAAGAGACCAAUACAAUUUCAAAUUUCAAAGUGGACUAAUGGCUCGUUGACACGUGGAAAAAUUAUUAAGAUAAAAAUGAAAUGCAUCCAAAGCAGAUUGGGUGAACGAUAGAAGCCUCAAACCCUUUUCUCACACACAAAUACACUCUUUCUCACUUUGUUUAAACCGACGAUGAACUAGCGGCGAUGAAGGGAGGUUUACGGUGGUGGAGGCUAUGGCAUAGGUUCCAACGGGUGGCUCGCAAUCGAUUCGAGGAAGGCAACGACGGCGACGCGUUACUGUUCGUUUUCGAAAGAUCGUAGCGGUGGUGGAGGAACGGUAUCACGCGGUUUAGAAAGUUUUAGAGGAAGGCUCAUACGCGAUGUUGACUGGUACGGCGUGGCCCUUAGCGAUUUCGAAGGAUAUUGGUUACUGGUGAACUGGUUUUUUGCGAUUUGGUUUCUAAGGGUUCUCAGGUUCUCUCAAUGCGGCGUGAAGAGUUUGGUCGUAUGGUGAAUUAAGUUUGGAUGAGCGGCUUGCGGUCAGUUUGAAGAAAAUGAUGAUGGUGACACAUCGCUGUCGGGUAGUGUGAGUUGUUGGAUUUCGGUGGCGGUUUAGAACAGAGAUGUGUGAUCAUUAUUGAAGAGGCUGUCACGGUGGAGCGAAGUUGUGGAUGACUGUUAACAUUGUCGGGGGGACGCAAGGUGGUUAAGGUGUGUUAAGGUCAAAAAAAUGGAAGGGAGCGGUGGAGUUCAUGCAGGUUUGAGGGUUGCAUUUUUGUGAGAGUUUAAUGUCCAUUGUAGUCAUGGCUGAUGGUCACACGGUAGUAGUGCAAAGCUUGGGUUUUUCUGGUGUAAAGAUGUUGUUUGGUGGCUGUGAAGAUGUAUGUAGAGUGAGUGGUUUUCAAGAGACUCAAUGAAAUAAAAAGAAGAAAACGGAUGUGUUCCAUAUCCAAUUACCAUUGGCUUUGGUGCUUCUGAUUUUGUUUGCAUACCGACAUGGAGAUAAAGUAAAUAGAAAGCGGUGAAAUCAUGAUUUCGAGGGUGGUGUUUUUGUUGUGCUCAAGUGUUGUUAUGUGCAAGAAAAAAACAUACAUGAGGGUGUUUGGAAAGUGCCCUCUCCUCACAAACGAAAAGUUGAAAAAGAGUAUAUAUAAAAAAGAAUGAAUAGAGAUAAUACCCGGCUGUUGUGUGAAGACCAAACCUGGAGUAUAAAUGAAUACAAUUCUUCUUUUCUCACAGGAGGGAGUCUGAAUUCCUUAGACAAAACAAUGAGUAAAAAAUGGUUUUUUUUAUCCCCCCACACUGUUUGAGAAAAAGCCAUAUAUAUGUUGGACUCCCUACUGUGUUGUCGUCCCUUUCUUCAUGAA